GGAAUCUACCUAGUAGUACGGAAUAGCCAUUAGAAAUGGUGGGUAAUACUGUAUAAUCCCCGAGGGGGAAAGAUUUAUCGCUAUUAGAUGAGCCUACGUUAGAUUAGCUAGUUGGUGAGGUAAUGGCUUACCAAGGCUAUGAUCUAUAGCUGGUCUGAGAGGACGAUCAGCCACACUGGAACUGAGAUACGGUCCAGACUCCUACGGGAGGCAGCAGUGGGGAAUAUUGGACAAUGGGCGAAAGCCUGAUCCAGCUAUGCCGC
rnacentral:rRNA from 1 species